UUGCACGCUGGCGGCAGGCCUAACACAUGCAAGUCGAGCGGAUGAAGGGAGCUUGCUCCUGGAUUCAGCGGCGGACGGGUGAGUAAUGCCUAGGAAUCUGCCUGGUAGUGGGGGAUAACGUCCGGAAACGGGCGCUAAUACCGCAUACGUCCGGAGGGAGAAAGUGGGGGAUCUUCGGACCUCACGCUAUCAGAUGAGCCUAGGUCGGAUUAGCUAGUUGGUGGGGUAAAGGCCUACCAAGGCGACGAUCCGUAACUGGUCUGAGAGGAUGAUCAGUCACACUGGAACUGAGACACGGUCCAGACUCCUACGGGAGGCAGCAGUGGGGAAUAUUGGACAAUGGGCGAAAGCCUGAUCCAGCCAUGCCGCGUGUGUGAAGAAGGUCUUCGGAUUGUAAAGCACUUUAAGUUGGGAGGAAGGGCAGUAAGUUAAUACCUUGCUGUUUUGACGUUACCAACAGAAUAAGCACCGGCUAACUUCGUG
rnacentral:rRNA from 1 species